UAGUUUCCGGCUCCCUCCUUCAGACUACAAGCUCCACAGAGCCGCGGGAGGACGGUUGCCUGGUAUUAUUAGCAAGAAGCAAAUAUGGCGGUGGCGCGCGUGGACGCGGCUUUGCCUCCCGGAGAAGGAUCAGUGGUCAAUUGGUCAGGGCAGGGACUACAGAAAUUAGGUCCAAAUUUACCCUGUGAAGCUGAUAUUCACACUUUGAUUCUGGAUAAAAAUCAGAUUAUUAAAUUGGAAAAUCUGGAGAAAUGCAAACGAUUAAUACAGUUAUCAGUAGCUAAUAAUCGGCUGGUUCGGAUGAUGGGUGUGGCCAAGCUGACGUUGCUUCGUGUAUUAAAUUUGCCUCAUAAUAGCAUUGGCUGUGUGGAAGGGCUAAAGGAACUAGUACAUCUGGAAUGGCUGAAUUUGGCAGGAAAUAAUCUUAAGACCCUGCUUUUACAUGGAAACAUCAUCACCUCUCUUAGAAUGGCACCUACUUACCUACCCAGAAGCCUUGCUAUACUUUCUUUGGCAGAAAAUGAAAUCCGAGACUUAAAUGAGAUCUCUUUUUUGGCAUCCUUAACUGAAUUGGAACAGUUGUCGAUUAUGAACAAUCCUUGUGUGAUGGCAACACCAUCCAUCCCAGGAUUUGACUAUCGGCCGUACAUCGUCAGCUGGUGCUUAAACCUCAGAGUCCUAGAUGGAUAUGUGAUUUCUCAGAAGGAAAGUUUGAAAGCUGAAUGGCUCUAUAGUCAAGGCAAGGGGAGAGCAUAUCGGCCUGGCCAGCACAUCCAGCUUGUCCAAUAUCUGGCUACAGUCUGCCCCCUUACUUCUACACUAGGUCUUCAAACUGCAGAGGAUGCCAAACUAGAGAAGAUUUUGAGCAAACAGAGGUUUCACCAGAGGCAGUUGAUGAACCAAAGCCAAAAUGAAGAGUUGUCUCCUCUUGUUCCUGUUGAAACAAGGGCAUCCCUUAUUCCUGAGCAUUCAAGCCCUGUUCAAGAUUGCCAGAUAUCCCAGGAAAGUGAACCCGUCAUUCAAGUCAAUUCUUGGGUUGGGAUAAACAGUAAUGAUGAUCAGUUAUUUGCGGUUAAGAAUAAUUUUCCAGCCUCUGUACACACUACGAGAUAUUCUCGAAAUGAUCUGCACCUGGAAGACAUACAGACGGAUGAGGACAAGUUAAACUGUAGUCUUCUCUCUUCAGAGUCUACUUUUAUGCCAGUUGCAUCAGGACUAUCUCCACUAUCACCUACAGUUGAGCUGAGGCUGCAGGGCAUUAACUUGGGCCUAGAAGAUGAUGGUGUUGCAGAUGAAUCUGUGAAAGGGCUGGAAAGCCAGGUGUUGGAUAAGGAAGAGGAAAAGCCUUUAUGGGCUGCAAAUGAGAAUUCUGUUCAAAUGAUGAGAAGUGAAAUCAAUACAGAGGUAAAUGAGAAAGCUGGGCUAUUACCUUGUCCUGAGCCAACAAUAAUCAGCACUAUCUUGAAGGAUGAUAACCACAGUCUUACAUUUUUUCCUGAGUCAGCUGAACAGAAACAACCAGACAUAAAGAAGCCAGAAAAUACACAACCAGAAAAUAAAGAAACCAUAUCUCAAGCAACUUCAGAGAAACUUCCCAUGAUUUUAACCCAGAGAUCUGUUGCUUUGGGACAAGACACAGUUGCCCUUCAGAAAUUAAAUGAUGCAGCCACCAAGCUUCAGGCCUGUUGGCGGGGAUUUUAUGCCAGGAACUACAACCCUCAAGCCAAAGAUGUGCGUUACGAAAUCCGGCUACGCAGAAUGCAAGAGCACAUUGUCUGCUUAACUGAUGAAAUAAGGAGGUGGGUCAGAAGUCCUUUUGAUGCACUGUUUUGUUGGUUUGAGGGUGUUAAAUUCUUACAGUUGAUUCAGAACACUGUGCUUCUGUGAUUAUAACACUUUUCACACAGUGUAGCCACUGUUGGUUUGGUUGUCUCCUAUAGUGUACCGAAAGCAUCUGGAGAGCAGACACUAUCUGCUCUAUCUCCUCAUCUCCAUCCCCAGCAAAGCACUUGAUACAUAGAUGCAGUGUAGUGAUAAAUGUUCAAUGAACGUGAGCUUUAUAGAGAUCUGUAAUUCUAAACAUAGAAAGGUACAGAAAACAUUGAAAAACCAAGUAAAAAAAUGAGAAGAUGAUGAAGUCUAUAUGGAAUUCAGUACAUGAAAUAAGAAUUACAGAAAAUAGCAGGGAUUCAGAAGGGGCUAAAAUUCUAUAGGACUACAAUAGGAAUUAUUCCUUAAUCCCAUGGCUCAUAUGUUUUACUGACUGCUAACCCAGGAAAGUUAGGAUUUCAUUAAUAUUGCAACUAGUAAUAUUUACUGGUAUUAUCAGGUAGAAGAGGAAGAGGCAGCAAAGGAUACUGCCAGAGUAGGAGGAAAACUAGGAGAGUUCCACCUUCAACAGGAGAAAGUGUUUCAGGAGAGAUGAGAGGUGCCAUAGAGAGGACACAGGCAUUAGACUUGGCAGUUGGAGGCUAUUGGUGACUGUGUUGGUGAUUCUCCAGACUAUCCUCAGGUUGGAUGAUUUGCUAAAAGGACUCACAGAACUCAGGAAAAUACUAUUCUGUUCGUCAUUAUGGUUUAUUACAGCAAAAGGAUACAGAUUAGAAUCAGUAAAGAAAAAAGGUGCCUAGGGCAGAGUCUAGGAGAGAUGAGGUGCAAGCUUCCAGUUGUUCUCUUUCAGUGCAGUUGUACAGACAGGGCUUAAUUCUCUCAGCAAUGACAUAUGAUAACACAUAUGAAGUAUUGCCAACUGGCAAAAGUUACCUCAUCUUUGGUGUCCAGGGUUUUUAUUGUGGGCCAGUCACAUAGGUAUUGAGUACCCAUGUAACUGAUCUUAACUAUUUAGACCUCAGGCCACACAGAGGUCACACUGAUACU
rnacentral:sRNA from 1 species